rnacentral:rRNA from 1 species
GUGCCAGCAGCCGCGGUAAUACGUAGGGCGCAAGCGUUAUCCGGAAUUAUUGGGCGUAAAGAGCUCGUAGGCGGUUUGUCGCGUCUGCUGUGAAAACGCGGGGCUCAACUCCGCGCCUGCAGUGGGUACGGGCAGACUAGAGUGCGGUAGGGGAGAUUGGAAUUCCUGGUGUAGCGGUGGAAUGCGCAGAUAUCAGGAGGAACACCGAUGGCGAAGGCAGAUCUCUGGGCCGUGACUGACGCUGAGGAGCGAAAGGGUGGGGAGCAAACAGGCUUAGAUACCCUGGUAGUCCACCCCGUAAACGUUGGGAACUAGUUGUGGGGGCCUUUCCACGGUCUCCGUGACGCAGCUAACGCAUUAAGUUCCCCGCCUGGGGAGUACGGCCGCAAGGCUAAAACUCAAAGGAAUUGACGGGGACCCGCACAAGCGGCGGAGCAUGCGGAUUAAUUCGAUGCAACGCGAAGAACCUUACCAAGGCUUGACAUACACCGGAAACGUCCAGAGAUGGUCGCCCCUUUUUGGUCGGUGUACAGGUGGUGCAUGGUUGUCGUCAGCUCGUGUCGUGAGAUGUUGGGUUAAGUCCCGCAACGAGCGCGACCCUCGUUCUAUGUUGCCAGCACGUUAUGGUGGGAACUCAUGGGAUACUGCCGGGGUCAACUCGG